rnacentral:lncRNA from 1 species
CUUCCUCAUAGGGCUAAGGGAGAAGUAAGUAAAAUCAUCAAACUAAUUCAUGAAAGUACCUAGUGCAAUGCCUGGCACAGAUAAAAAUUCAUUAAGGGUUUGUCAUUAUUAGUCAUAAACGCUUUGCCAGUGCUGCACUAAGUGCCAAGGAUGCAAAGACUCAUAUUCUAGCUUAGGAGAUAGGAUCAAAACCAAUAAAUUUUCAUUAUAAUGUGAUUUCUUAACAGCCACUCAAAAGAGAUGUAUACAAAUACUAUUGGAGUGUCAUGAAGUGAAGGAUUCCCAGGAGUGAUAUCUGGAAAGGUCUUCCAAUGACUAGGAGUCUUAAUCAGCUUGGGUUGCUAUCACAGAAUACCAUCGACUGAGUGGCUUAUAAACAACAGAUAUUUAUUUCUCACAAUUCUGGAGGCUGUAAAGUCCAAGAUCAAGGCACCAGCAGGAUCAGUACCUGGAAACUGGAGCAAGAGACCCUCCUUGCUGGCUGAUUGAAGUAAGUGGUCAGGUUGGAGAAGCCCAUGUGGCAAGGAACUGCAGGAGGCCUCUUUGUUUCUGUGGGUGGUCUCCAGGACCUGAGGGUGGAAUCCAGCCAACAGCUAUCCAGAAGCUGGGACCUGCAGACAUACUAUGGUAGGAAAGUCAAUUCUACUAACAGCCUAAAUGAACAUGGAAGCAGACUUUUUCCCCAGGCAAGCUUCUAGUUGAGAACUCAGCUCAGUGAUACCCUGACUACAACCCUAUAAGAUCCUGAACAGAGAAGCCAGCUAAGCCAGACCCAGACUCCUGCCUCAGAGAAACUGUGAGACAAUAGAGUAUGUUGUUUUAAGCCUCUAAGUUUGUGGUCAUUUGUGAUGCAGCAAUAGAAAACUAACACAUUCCCCCACUAGAUGCAUGCUCUCUGAGGGUGAGACCACAUCCAUAUUACCCCUCACUGUACUCCCAGCAGGUCACACCUUGCCUGGCACAUAGUAGGUGCUCAAGAAAUAUUUUCUGGAUGAAUGAUUGAAUGAAUGAAGCUGCAUCAGUCUUACAAUAUUUACAAUCACUCCAUAAGGAGGAUUAUUUUAAUUCAAGUUUUACUAAGACUGAGAAAAAAUAAGUGACACAUCCAAGAAUAUCCAAGAUUUACAUAGAAAGAGAAGAGGUGGGACCUAAACUAGCAUCUCCUGGGACCAAAUCCCAAGUUCAUUCAUUAAAAUCACAGCUAUAAGAACAGUGUUGGCUUUCCACCUUGACAGAGCUGAUAGAAGCUUACACAAAUAAUUGUACCUCACUCAUACCCAGAACAGACAUCACUAAUCAAUCACAAUACUCUUUUAGGUGAAGUUCAUCUUCUAAACUAAACCUUCUCAACUCAGGAUUUCAGUAGCCACAGCAGUUGACCACAUCUGGCCAAGGAGAGGAAACCUACUCGUCAUCCAAAUGCUAACCUGCUAGUUAGUUAGAAUCUAUACCUCCAUGUAACUGAAUGUAGAAUCCAUUCCCAGCAAUGUCUGGGAAAACUAUGAAAGAAAGAAGAGUCUGAGCAUAGAAAGGAGUAGGAUUUGGGAGAAGAAGAGUCAAGAAAAGAGGUUGGGGUAGGGAAAAACAAAACAAGAAACAGUGUUUCUAGAACCUUCUCUUCAGAGGAAAGCCUCUCACCAUUUUCAGGCAAGAAAUUCCACUAAUGAUGCAUGCUACAGCUGGAUUCUCUUGUGGCUGAAUUCCCUGAGUCAGCUGAUGAAUUCUUCCUUGUAUAGUAAUUGGCUACAGCAAUUAGAUUCCCUUUUUUAUUAUUCGUAUUGCCGUGACAUAUUCCGACUUCUCUCUAAAAAUCCAGCUGAUGACCGCAACAAGAGUGCAAUGGAUUGAAUAUUUGCCAUGAAUGAUAUUUUCAUUGUUUUGACAAUUAAGGUGUAUGUUUGCCUGAGGGACUACAGUUAUGAUAUAUUAAACAUUAAUCUCCAGAAAUGAAAGCCAACUGUUUGAACAAGAAGUACGUAUGCUGCCAUAAAAGUGAUGGAGCCUAAAAGUAAAAACAGAUUGAAAAGUGAGGAAAACAGUCAAUGAAUUAGUUGUUUGGUUUUUACUUUCUUUAUUUGUUAAUAAAUUGAUUAAAUCCAUUUUUCCCUAGGCAUUGCAUAGACCAGGGUUAUCAAAUACAUUGUGCUGACAGUACCAUCUAUCUUGGCCAUGGCAGGCAUUACUAAUUAAUCACAUCUUUCUUUUCUCCCUGAGCCCCAGCUUGGUCUUGGAAACCAUCCCACUAUGGAGCUCCAGGCAGCCAAUAUUAAUCUAUCAUUUUGGAUCUCAGGGCAGAACUCCUUGCCAUCCAAGACUACAAACACAGCCCCAACUCACAAGUUAUCAAGCAGAAAGCAGUAAAGUUUUAGGAUUAAGAUGGGCACAGACACUGGACUCAGAGUGCCUGGAUUUGAAGCCCACUUCUGCUAUUUACCAGCCCUUCCAUGCCUGUGUUGUCAUCUGUAAAAUGGGGAUACUAAUAGCAUCUGCAUCAUAGAACUACAAUGAUGAUUAAACGAAUGAAAAUACAAGUGUUGGAAGAGUAGCUGGCAAACAUAAGCACCGAUCUUUCUUAUAUUUGGAUAGUUUGAUUUCCUUCAUUCUCUGUGCAAAAUCUAGCUCUCCUAUGAGGUUAUAAGCUCCUCAAAAGCAAGUGCCAUGAUUUUUCCUUCUUUGCAUCUCCACCACUUAAUACACAAUAGGAGCUGAGUCUCUAUUUGUUAAAUUGUUGAAUCAGACUCUUCCAGCCAGACUGGCACACUCACUAUCCCAUCCCCUUUUAUUGGAGAUUUCUGCCUCCUUCCAUCACUCUCUUCCAUCACUUCCCACCUCCUCCAUUCCUUUAAGGCUCCACAUUAUCUCUUCCCCUCUUCCACUCUCCCCACCUCAAUCCCAUCCCACAAAUAUUCACCUGUUUCCUACCCAUCCUUUAGAGCCUACCUGGUUGGAGUAGUCAUUAUUUCAUUCACCAAAUAGUUCCAGCUCUCUGCCUUCUAGGCACAUAGCAGAAUUUUACUUCCUGCUUUUCUCCCUAUGGUCAGCUGAGGCCAUAGGAAGAGUCUGACACAUGAGUGGAGAAUUUGGUUGCUGGUGUGAGGCCCUGCCAAUCUCAAAUCUCUCUUCUGUCACCAACAGGGCUCCCAUCGGCAGCUGCCCCAUCAGUUCAGUUUAUAGUGAUCAUGAAUUGAGUAAUAUUGUUUGGCUGUGUUCCCACCCAAAUCUCAACUUGAAUUGUAUCUCUCAGAAUUCCCAUGUGCUGUGGGAGGGAACCAGGAAGAGGUAAUUGAAUCAUGGAGGCCAAUUUUUCCCCUGCUAAUAGUGAAUAAGUUUCACAAGAUCUGAUGGGUUUAUCAGGAGUUUCCACUUUUGCUUCUUCCUCGUUUUCUCUUGCCACUGCCAUGCAAGCAGUGCCUUUUGCCUUCCACCAUGAUUCUGAGGCCUCCCCAGCCAUAUGGAGCUGUAAGUCCAAUUAAACCUCUUUUCCCUUCCCAGUCUUGGAUAUGUCUUUGUCAGCAGCGUGAAAGCAGACUAAUACAGUAAAUUGAUACCAGUAGAGUGGGGCGCUGCUGAAAAGAUAUCCGAAAAUGUGGAAGCAACUUUGGAACUAGGUAAGAGGCAGAGGUCGGAACAGUUUGGAGGGCUCAGAAGAAAUAAGAAAAUGUGGGAAAGUUUCAAACCUCCUAGAGACUUGUUGAAUGGCUUUGACAAAAAUGCUGAUAGUAAUAUGAACAAUAAGGUCUGGCUGAGGUGGUCUCAGAGGGAGAUAAGGAACUUGUUGGGAACUGGAGCAAAGGUGAUUCUUGUUAUGUUUUAGCCAAGAGACUGCUAUUCUCGUGAUAGUAAAUUUCACAAGAUCUGAUGGGUUUAUCAGGGGUUUCUGCUUUCGCUUCUUCCUCAUUUUCUCUUGCUGCCACCGUGUUAGAAGAGUCUUUCAUCUCCCAACAUGAUUCUGAGGCCACCCAAGCCAUGUGGAACUGUAAGUUCAAUUAAACCUCUUUUUUCCUUCUCAGUCUCGAGUAUGUCUUUAUCAGCAGUGUGAAAAUGGACUAAUACAGUGGGGCAGAGCCACUAGUACACCAAUCAUGGGCUAAUCGCAUGAAUGAGAA